rnacentral:rRNA from 1 species
UACGUAGGGUGCAAGCGUUAAUCGGAAUUACUGGGCGUAAAGCGUGCGCAGGCGGUUAUGCAAGACAGAUGUGAAAUCCCCGGGCUCAACCUGGGGACUGCAUUUGAUACUGCUUGGCUUGAAUUCGGGAGAGGAUAGCGGAAUUCCCAGUGUAGAGGUGAAAUUCGUAGAUAUUGGGAAGAACACCGGUGGCGAAGGCGGCUAUCUGGACCGACAUUGACGCUGAGGCGCGAAAGCGUGGGGAGCAAACAGG